AGCGAGAGAGGGAGAGGGAGAGGGGGGUUGCUGUUUGGUCUUUCUCUGGAAUCUACUUCAUAUGGAGCUAGUAAAAUCCGCUUGUGUUUAUCUUCUUCUAAGGGACUCAAAAAGCCAUGAAUCUUCCAUAGACUAAUCAAGAUCACUCUAUUUUAGGUUGUUCGCUUUGAAUAUAUGCUAUGACAACACUCACGCAGAUUCCCAUCAAUUUUUCUGCUUUCAAUUCUCUACUCAAUGAUUCAAGCAAGAAACUAAACUCUUUUGGGUUGAAAUUAUCACAACCCAUCAACUAUUACUCUCUCUCGACAAUAAAGCUUGCUUCUUUACACCAAAGGAACUUCAAACUAGGGGUUUCUAAAAAAGUAUGGUCUUUCAUAGGAGUGAGCGGGGGUACAGAUGGAAUUUUGGUGAGAGAGGAGGGCUGGAAGAGGAAAAAGAGGGUGAUUGUGGUUAGGUUCAAUCAAGGAUUGGGUUUUAAUAAUGGUAGUGGUGGUGGUGGUGGUGGUGGUGGAGACAACAAUAACACUGGGAGGAUUUUGGGUAAUCUUGCUCUGGCUAUUGGGUUGACUUAUCUUUCUAUGACUGGGCAGCUUGGUUGGGUUUUGGAUGCUAUUGUUUCCGUCUGGCUCCUUGUGGUGCUUCUGCCAAUUGUGGGUUUGGGAGCUUUCAUUUGGUGGGCAGGACGAGAUAUACUUCAAGGCAGUUGCCCAAACUGUGGAAAUGAUUUCCAGGUUUUCAAAUCUUCUCUAAAUAAUGAAAUGCAGCUGUGCCCCUUUUGUAGUCAACCUUUCUCAGUGGUAGGUAAUGAGUUUGUGAAUGAUCCUGUGGACUUUCCGGACCAAGCUACGACAUUUGGACAAGCAUUCAGUAACAUGUCUUUUCGUUCCAAGAAAGGAAAGGACUCUUCUGCAGCAGUUGUUGACAUUGAAGCUGAAAUAAAAGAUGUGGACUGAGAUCUUCACCCGAGAUGUCCUGGCAUGUGAUGAAUUCUAUUGUACAUGUGGUUUCUGUCCCAUUAUAUUGAAAUAGAGAUAACCCUCAAGGCAACGGCAUUCAAUACUGGUGAAGAUCUGAUGCGGCUCUGCAAAUUAUUUCCGUGGUUGUGUGUGUUUGUUGAGCUUGCAGGUAACAGAUCAAAAAGAAGUUAGAGUAAUGAGAAGGUUGUUCUUGGUAGUACAAUGAAUUGAUGCAGAAACCACUUGUAAAGUAUGAUCUGAUCAACUAUUUCAGAUAGUGAAUCCUUUGUAGAAAACCGACUAGUCAAUGUACUUUAAGCACAUCUAAACUGAAGUAAUGAGAAGGUUGUUCUUUGUAGUACAAUAA